GACGAACGCUGGCGGCGUGCCUAACACAUGCAAGUCGAGCGGGGUCCAUCCAGUGGCAACACUGGGGAAGACCUAGCGGCGAACGGGUGAGUAACACGUGAGAAACCUGCCCUGAAGUCUGGGAUAACCCGAGGAAACUCGAGCUAAUACCGGAUGCCCCCACCGAGUCGCAUGGCUUGGUGAGGAAAAGAUUCAUCGCUUCAGGAGGGUCUCGCGGCCUAUCAGCUAGUUGGCGGGGUAACGGCCCACCAAGGCAUCGACGGGUAGCUGGUCUGAGAGGACGAUCAGCCACACUGGGACUGAGACACGGCCCAGACUCCUACGGGAGGCAGCAGUGGGGAAUAUUGCGCAAUGGGCGAAAGCCUGACGCAGCAACGCCGCGUGCGGGAUGACGGCC
rnacentral:rRNA from 1 species